rnacentral:misc_RNA from 1 species
GAUGAAGAACGUAGCGAAAUGCGAUAGGUAAUGUGAAUUGCAGAAUUCAGUGAAUCAUCGAAUCUUUGAACGCACAUUGCGCCCGCCAGUAUUCUGGCGGGCAUGCCUGUUCGAGCGUCAUUACAACCCUCAGGCCCCCGGGCCUGGCGUUGGGGAUCGGCGGAGCCCCCCGUGGGCACACGCCGUCCCCCAAAUGCAGUGGCGGUCCCGCCGCAGCUUCCAUCGCGUAGUAGCUAACACCUCGCGACUGGAGAGCGGCGCGGCCACGCCGUAAAACACCCAACUCUUCUGAAGUUGACCUCGAAUCAGGUAGGAAUACCCGCUGAACUUAAGCAUAUCAAUAAGCGGAGGA